rnacentral:lncRNA from 1 species
UCACUGACAUGUUCUUACAGGGGACAGUUUCCCAGUUUUGAAGAGACCUGUUGGGAUAAACACAUUCAAGAUAAUAGCGUUGGGACAGGACAAAAGCCACAUCAUUGUAAAAAUGCCUUCAACCUGAAACAUUCUGAUGGAACUAUGCAUGAACAAUGGACACACACUGCCUAAUGUGGGAUGGAAGAGUAGCUGGCGGACCGCGGCAUUCUUUGGAUUCGUGGGAAAGUGUAUAAAAACACAUAAAGAAGGCUGAGUGCCGAAGAACUGAUGCUUUCUAACUGUGGUGCUGGAGAAAACUCUUGAGAGUCCCUUGGACAGCAAGGAGACCAAACCAGUCCAUCCUAAAGGGAAUCAACCCCAAAUAUUCAUUGGAAGGACUGAUGAUGAAGCUCCAAUACUUUGGCCACCUGAUGUGAAAAGCCAACUCAGUGGAAAAGACCCUGAUUCUGGAAACAUUGAGGACAGAAAGAGAAGGGGUGACAGAAAAUGAGAUGGUUGGAUGGCAUCACUGACUUAAUGGACAUGAGUUUGAGCAAACUCUGGGAGAUAGUAAAGGACAAGGAAGCCUGAUGUGCUGCAGUCCAUGGGGUCACAAAUAUUAGGACAUGACUUAGCAACUGAGCAACUGAAAAACAACAACAUGAUAUGACACAACAAAGAAUGUAAAGAAAAAAAAUUAAGGCUCUCAAAUAAAGAUAAAAUCGCAAUAAUAUGGGUAGUGGAAUACAAUAUUUUUAUUUUAAAAUCUUUAAUAUUAAUACCACAAUAGAAUGC